UAAACCAUUAGACGAGAAAACAAUUCAGGUAGAAAAAUGCAAAUUCCGCUGAAAUUGGUUUAUUCUCCAACUCAAAACUUUCAAUCACACAACAGUAAAUUCAAUUAUGCUUUCAUCGUCCUUGUCCAAGUCUAAGAAAAUUUUAUUUAGGCCACCAUGAUAUGCCGUGCCUCAAACGAUCGUUCAAAGGCCGAAAUCAGAGUGCCUCAUACAGCCAAUUCUUGUUGUUUACAUUUCUUUCUUGCGAACUUUGGACUCUGUCUUGUUACAAAUAAAAUUUAUGCAGCUCAACUGAGGCAAGUUUUGCUGUCAAUAAUAAUAUCAUUGGUAUUGCCAAAGCAAGCAGAAAAUCCGCAUUCACAUCGCCUCGCCAUAAUACUUGAACUGGCCUCCUUGCUAGAGUCUCAUAGCAGAACGAGAAUGCACAGGGCAAUUCUUGCAGUCCUGCUCUCAGAAAUAGCAGGACCAAAGGUUUUCAAAACAAUGCUCUUUGACCUACGUAGGUGAACCCUCGACCAAUCAAAUCACAACUGCUUACGAAAUGUUAUGAUGGUAAUUUCGACGAGGUCCUGCUCCCGAGAUUGAGCAGGACUGCUCUUUGUUCUAGACUAUUGUGAAGCAGGACUAAAUUCACAAAAGCCCAUUGUGAAGCAGGACCAAACAUAGGGUAUCAUAGUUAUGAGCAGGACCAAAAUACAGGGCUGCCGUAGAAGAGAACAGGACCUUGAGAUUAGCACGGGAUGCCUGUAUCAGCUGGCGGAACUGGGGACUGUUUAUCAAAAAGAAUUUGAAACUUAUUGUUUACAGUAAAUCUUAUCUUUGGAAAUUCUUGGUCCUGCUCAGCAGGACCAGCAGGACCUUUGGCUUCGCCACUGCAAAGAGGUGGCGGUUAACGAUCUCCUCGACAAAGCCGAUUGAUUGACAAUGAAGUUGAUUGACAGUUGUCAUGGCAGCAGAAAAGUGACAAAAUCUGCUGAAAAAGUGCUGACAACAUGAACUGAAGCUUCCAUAUGCUACUUAUACGCGGGGCAGACUAUAAGCCCUUCACUCGCGCGCUAUCGCGCGCGAGUUGCGGGCAAAAACAAAAAGAUGGACUCCCAAUCGAUUUCUUUUCAAAACACUGAUAAAACAGGGCGUUCACAAUUAUUAAAGAUUAGGGGGUUUAAACAAGCAAAAUAUCAUCAUGCAACGUCCUUAGGCCAUUAGAAAUAUAUGUUGAAUUAUUGUACAAUCUUUCACAGGAUCCUACAAACAAAUCCUGAAGAGUCGAGAAAUAUUAAGACCCCACGUCACCUAAAUAUAUAGAAAAACUGAAGGUCGCAUUAAAGGCACUGGUCAUAGAUUUUGGUCAUAAAUUUUGGGAUUUAUUUUUAGCAUAUUCUUAAAUUUUGGGAUAUCAUUUUUAAAAUAAAGGGGGUUUUAUUUACUUGAUUGAGUUGUUGGAUUUUUGCAAAUUUGAAUUAAAUUUAAAGGUGUAUAUUUCAUAUUGUAUCGAAAUUUGUGGGUAGGUUUUUAAAAAUUUAUGAAAUUUAAGGUAUGUUUUCAUAUUAUAAAAUGGCACACCCCCGUCCUCCGCCUAUUGAAAUUCCCUGUGGUGUGAAGGAGAUCAUCAUUGGCGGGUAAUUUGAAUGAAUUUUGGCGGGAAUGGCUCGUGGAAAUGGCUCGUGGAAAUGGCUGCACAGGAUACCUUUGUUUCACAAUCUGCUGGGAAUCUAGUCUAAAUUUGCAUAUGCUUAUAAAUACCUGGUUUCUUUGCUAUUCAAUUAGUUGGCACAAAAGAGUCGAAGAUAAGGGACACUCGUGUCUUCAUCUUGGCCUACAACGGCAUGUAAACCUAGGAUAAUGGAGUGAACACAGACAAACGACAAGUUAAAAGUGAUUCGUUGAACCGACGCCAAUCAUAGCUCUUGGCGGGGAACAGAUUCCUGCCUUCUCAAAACUUGAUUAUUUCUCGUUUAAAUUUUCCCAGAUGACUCUUCGGUGUCAGUUAAAGGUUAAAGAAAAGCUAACUGGCACUCAAUGUUACCAUUGGCAACAAAUCUGCAAGUUCAACAUGUCAAGUGUGGUAAAUUCUUGUGAGCUAGAGAUCAGCAAGAUCAUUAUGUCAAGUUUUGAGCAAGAUGUUACUAAGGCCAGAAAUUAAGAUGUCUUGGAAUUUAAUGAACAAGGUGCCUUCAAGGGUAAACUGCUUGCUGUCAAGAAACAAUCUACUGUUUGUGAAAUACCCCCGCAAGAAGGGCAAAGAAUAACAUGCUGCUUGUCCUCAAACAAUCAACUGUUGUUUGUGAAAGUCACCAGCAAAACAUAAAAAGGGCUAGCAUUUAAGAUGUAUUGGAAUUGAAUGAAUUAGGUUCCAUUGAGAGCUGGAUGUCCCUGAGCAAUUAUCUACUGUCUGUGAAGUUCACCUGCAAGACAUGCAAAGGUAAACUGCUGGUCAUCUGGGAACAAAAAUCUGCUGGUUGUGAAAUCCACCCCAAUAAUAUUGAAAGGGCAAAUGCUGGCUGUCCAGAAACAAUUAGCUGCUGUUUGUGAAAGUCACCAGCUAAACAUACAAAGGGCAAAUGCUGGCUGUCCAGAAACAAUUAGCUGCUGUUUGUGAAAGUCACCAGCUAAACAUACAAAGAUGUUGGCGAAAAGAAGAGCAAAUGCGACGAAGAAGCAACCCAGUCAAUCAAACGAAGAUGAUGCCAAAUGUUCUCUGCAUAAUUUCACUUAAGACUUAACAGCCAAAAGGCUAAAGUCAUUUAGAAACUAGAAAUUCAUCAUCAUGAACCGUGGUCCACAUGUAGAAAAGCAAAGAAUCGUUAACCCGACGGAAACCUUCCAAAUCGCUAGCCAGUUUCAAAAACAUGCCCAGAGAAGGCUUUAAGAUUUGAAAAAAAGAGCAGAAAUUUGAAGAAGCAGAAAGACACUUUGGUUCCACUGCCGUUUUGCAAAGAAAAAGGAGCAGCAAAAGCGAAACACCACUACAUCCAGACCACUAAGCGAUUUUCCAGACCACUGCCGUUUUGCAAAGAAAAAGGAGCAGCAAAAGCGAAACACCACUACUUCAAGACUACUAAGUGAUUUUCCAGACCACUGCCGUUUUGCAAAGAAAAAGGAGCAGCAAAAGCGAAACACCACUACUUCAAGACCACUAAGCGAUUUUUCCAGACCACUAUAUCCAGACCAGCCAGACCAAUACAUCCAGAGCAGGAACAAGAACCACGAACAGCAUUUCAGGCACAUGUAAUUUGCGUAAAGUUGGAUAUCUCAUAUAAUAUCUCACUAAGAUAGGGACACGUCAUAUUAUACUUAGAUUAUAUCAGGUUCUUAUGAAGAGUUGUUCACUGAGCCCAAUUAUAUAUUUUAUUGCUAUUAUCAAUAAAUUGUUUUGACUCAACACGCAAA